UUUUGGACAAUGGGCGCAAGCCUGAUCCAGCCAUGCCGCGUGCAGGAUGAAGGCCUUCGGGUUGUAAACUGCUUUUGUACGGAACGAAAAGACUCUUUCUAAUAAAGAGGGUCCAUGACGGUACCGUAAGAAUAAGCACCGGCUAACUACGUGCCAGCAGCCGCGGUAAUACGUAGGGUGCGAGCGUUAAUCGGAAUUACUGGGCGUAAAGCGUGCGCAGGCGGUGAUGUAAGACAGAUGUGAAAUCCCCGGGCUCAACCUGGGAACUGCAUUUGUGACUGCAUCGCUGGAGUGCGGCAGAGGGGGAUGGAAUUCCGCGUGUAGCAGUGAAAUGCGUAGAUAUGCGGAGGAACACCGAUGGCGAAGGCAAUCCCCUGGGCCUGCACUGACGCUCAUGCACGAAAGCGUGGGGAGCAAACAGG
rnacentral:rRNA from 1 species